UACGUAGGGGGCUAGCGUUGUCCGGAAUCAUUGGGCGUAAAGCGCGCGUAGGCGGCCCGGUAAGUCCGCUGUAAAAGUCAAAGGCUCAACCUUUGAAUGUCAGUGGAUACUGCCGGGCUAGAGUCCGGAAGAGGCGAGUGGAACUCCUGGUGUAGCGGUGGAAUGCGCAGAUAUCAGGAAGAACACCGACGGCGAAGGCGGAUCUCUGGGCCUUACCUGACGCUGAGGCGCGAAAGCUAGGGGAGCGAACAGG
rnacentral:rRNA from 1 species